rnacentral:lncRNA from 1 species
ACAAAUCGCAAAACCGUUAUUAUCUCAAGAGUCGUCUCUUUUCGCAAACUCAUUAAUAUAAUAAAUUCUACAGGUUUGUAUAUUUCUUGUAGUUCAUUAAUCGGUUUCUCUCCUUCUUUUCUUGUCUCUUCUGUUUUUUCUUCUCUCUGUUUCCCCCACAUCCAAAAAUCCUGUCAAAUUCUUUUUUCUCUGGACAUUCAUUGCCGUUGAUCAAUACCAUAUUCCUCACGCCCUCGCUCCUUCCCACCAAUUGCUCUUUGAAAUGAAACAAACUUAAAGGAAAACAGAGAGAGUAAAAAGAGAAAUUAAAAUAAUGAAACUGAUUAUGUUUGCCGAGAAACAUAUUUUGCUUACAAGGGAUGACAGAUCCUGAUGAAUGAUAUGGUAUAGGUUGAGGGACCAUCCUUACAGACUCGUAGUCGAAUCACAACAGAAUAAGGUAUGUUUCUAUAGCAAUAGGGUUAAAGGUUUGAUUCCUAUCAGAUGUUGUUUUUGCUGAGACACGUUAUUCUUGCUAAACUGGAAGAAUCCUUUUCACAAAUUUCAAGAAAACCUAUCAGAGUAAAGAGUUCAGGC